CACGUUCUUCUCACAUAUGAAUUUUAAAUGUCAAAGGGAUUUUGAAAUUAAUACUUUUUAAAUGUAAUUUGGGAUUUUUUAAAAAUAAAAGUGAUUCUGAAAAAUGUAGCAUCAUGAACAUGAAGGAAACCAGUCCCUCUAGAGGAAAUAUUAUAUUUAAUUAUUAAAAAUAGUUAUCACCAAAGUGUUAAAGUAGUCUUAAAUUCAAUAAAAAAUAUGAAGUUUCUGGACAUUUUAGUUCUAUUUUUUAAAGAACUUAUAUUUUUUUAAAAUAUAAAAGAAUGAGGGACCGAUAUCUAAAAAUUCUUUGGCCUGGAGUUCUGCAGAACUUUAGCCUUCACUGCAGCCAUCGUCCUACCGCAGUGAUAAGAAUACGAAACUUUUACACUUAAAAAACUUUUUUUUCUUAAAAAUAAAACUGUCUUUUUUUUCUUCUAGUGAGCUGCAAAAGAUUGAGAUGACCACCAGUUGCUUCUUAGUUCUUCUCAUUGAAGAUAUAAAUUUCAGCAAAUUAACUAAGAAAUAACACAUAACAAGGAGCAAAUUUACACAAAACACACGAUGAGAUAAAAACGGAUGGCUUUAUAAUAUUCAUCACUCGAGCUAAUGUAUGAGACUGAUAUCGAAUUUCGUAUAUUAAAAUAUUACAGAUGUAUUUAAUUUUAGAGCAAAUCUGGUUGAAGAAAGACAGCAGAGAUCUUAUUUUAAAGUUGAAGCUGAAUCUUUUGGAACAUCUCUCCAAAUGUUCUAAGUAUCUAUGAGUGUUUCUAUGAAACUUUCGAGAGCUAUCUCUUUGAGAAGCCAUAGAAAAUGUCAGUUCCUACACUAGCCAGGUUUUCUAAAUCAUAUAGCACCCGGAGUUAUGGUUUCAGUCAGUAAUUGAUCACUCAGCAUGUACAGGAAGACUCUACAGAAUACCUGGUAUCUGUGGAAGAUCUGCCCAAGUCCAAGACUUAAGUUACUCAUUUAAUAACUCCGGUUAACAAUUUGCUUCGUGCCUGAUAAUAAAGAGUUGACAUUACAAUAAUGAACUUCAAAAUCAAGAGGCUUUCCAACUGUUAGCUAUCCUACAACUUGGUUCAUCGUUGUUUUUUUUUUUUUCUCUCCCUCAAAUGAUCAUUUAAUUUUACAGUUUUGUCCUUCAUCCUUCUAAGAAGAAAAAACUUCAGCUUAGUCUUGACAGAAGACUGAACUCUUUUUUUUUUUUUUUACUCCUGAUGUAAGUGACACUACUCUCCCUACCGUUAGCUUCAGAAGGGAAGCAGAUUUCUUACUGUACAACAAGAACACAGUAAAACCAUCCUGAUACGUACGAACUUGGGGGCAGUUUGGCCACCUCACAACACGCUCCAACGAAACGCGAUGACGGUGGGGCCACUCACCUAAGCAAUGGGAGUUAAGAAGAAUUUAGAGCUGCUGCCUUCUGAUCCCCAGCAGAGGUCCAGGCCCCUUCUUGACCUCCCCGCGUCCCUUAUAUAAAAGCAGCCCUGGCUACUCCCAGUUACAGCCUCCUCACCUUAGGCUCCUCCCCAAUCCCAAGCCAUAAAGCACCGGAGCUACACACCCACCUUCCACCCCCACCAGGAGGACUGCAGACUCUGGCGGCCUGUCCCUGUGCUCGCCCCCUCGGUGGGACUGUAGGUCAGCUGUUUCUGUGGGUUUCCCCAGCAUGGUCUUGACCCCUUUUCAAAUCACUCCUCCCUCUCUACAACUGGAUUCCAGGAGUUCAGCUCAGUGCUUAGCUAUGGAUGUCUGCUUCUGCUUCCAUCAGCUACUGGAUGAAGGCUCUACAAUGGCAUUUAAGGAAGGAGACCUGCACAUGUCAUUCACUAAGGAGAAAGAGCAGAGAAAGUCCAAUCCGGGAGAAACUGAUGAUGGGCGGAGCUCGGUGUCAGGGGAUUUUUAAAAAAAACAUCCAAAGAUGGAGCAAUGGCUCACCCAUUAAGAGAAUGUGCUGCUCUUGCAGAGUUCAGUCCCAGCACCCACAUCAGGCAACUCACAACUGCCUAUAACCCCAGCUUCAGGCCUCCAUGGAUACCUCAUUCAGAGGUAAAUACUCAAACACAUACACAUAAUUAAAAAUAAUAAAAACCAUUUUAUUGUUUUUUUU
rnacentral:lncRNA from 1 species